UAGCUAGUUGGUGAGGUAAAGGCUUACCAAGGCGACGAUCUGUAGCGGGUCUGAGAGGAUGAUCCGCCACACUGGAACUGAGACACGGUCCAGACUCCUACGGGAGGCAGCAGUGGGGAAUUUUGGACAAUGGGGGCAACCCUUAUCCAGCCAUGCCGCGUGAGUGAAGAAGGCCUUCGGGUUGUAAAGCUCUUUCGGCCGGGAAGAAAUCGCAUGGGCCAAUACCCUGUGUGGAUGACGGUACCGGAAUAAGAAGCACCGGCUAACUACGUGCCAGCAGCCGCGGUAAUACGUAGGGUGCGAGCGUUAAUCGGAAUUACUGGGCGUAAAGCGUGCGCAGGCGGUUUUGUAAGACAGGCGUGAAAUCCCCGGGCUUAACCUGGGAACUGCGUUUGUGACUGCAAGGCUAGAGUACGGCAGAGGGGGGUGGAAUUCCACGUGUAGCAGUGAAAUGCGUAGAGAUGUGGAGGAACACCAAUGGCGAAGGCAGCCCCCUGGGUCGAUACUGACGCUCAUGCACGAAAGCGUGGGUAGCAAACAGGAUUAGAUACCCUGGUAGUCCACGCCCUAAACUAUGUCAACUAGGUGUUGGGUGGGUAAAACCAUUUAGUACCGUAGCUAACGCGUGAAGUUGACCGCCUGGGGAGUACGGCCGCAAGGUUAAAACUCAAAGGAAUUGACGGGGACCCGCACAAGCGGCGGAUGAUGUGGAUUAAUUCGAUGCAACGCGAAAAACCCUACCUACCCUUGACAUGCCAGGAACUUGCCAGAGAUGGCUUGGUGCCCGAAAGGGAGCCUGGACACAGGUGCUGCAUGGCUGUCGUCAGCUCGUGUCGUGAGAUGUUGGGUUAAGUCCCGCAACGAGCGCAACCCUUGUCGUUAAUUGCCAUCAUUUAGUUGGGCACUUUAACGAGACUGCCGGUGACAAGCCGGAGGAAGGUGGGGAUGACGUCAAGUCCUCAUGGCCCUUAUGGGUAGGGCUUCACACGUCAUACAAUGGUCGGUACAAAGGGUUGCCAAGCCGCGAGGCGGAGCCAAUCCCAGAAAGCCGAUCGUAGUCCGGAUUGCAGGCUGCAACUCGCCUGCAUGAAGUCGGAAUCGCUAGUAAUCGUGGAUCAGCAUGUCACGGUGAAUACGUUCCCGGGUCUUGUACACACCGCCCGUCACACCAUGGGAGCGGGUUCCGCCAGAAGUAGGUAGCCUAACCGCAAGGGGGGCGCUUACCACGGCGGGGUUCGUGACUGGGGUGAAGUCGGAACAAGGUAGCCGUAGGGGAACCU
rnacentral:rRNA from 1 species